AGUGUGACUAGAACAGAGGUCAUAAGAGGAUUCAAGACUAGAAACAAGGUUAAUCUGGAAAUGGUAUCGAGAGUAGACUGUAAUGAGACCAGACUGGUGGCAGGAAGACAAUUGCAGCUGCCCGGUGACAGAAGAGCAAAAGCCGAAUUAAGGCACCCUCUAUGGACCAGAGAACAACCUCUAGGAGUUGAGAGCAGUCCCUGGCUGAUACCAAGAAAACAAGACUUCAGUUCUAAAGCUGCAGAGGAAUGAAAUCUGCCAAUAAAAGGAAUGAUCUUGGAAGAGGACUAUGAGCUCCAGUUUUUCUUCCAGCUCUCAUGGAAACAAGCACUGCCACAGCCCCUUGAUGAGCCAGCAGAGUCCAGUCAUCUGGCAACAAUGACAGGUAUCUGGCAUCUGAGAGGAAUAUCAACUGAAGACAAUGAGAGAAUUAAAAAAGAAGUAAACACAAGACAAUCUUUUUUCACCCCCUUAGAUUCUGCAUUUCCACUUGCUUGAUUCAGUAAUUGUUUUGUUUUGAAUGUUGUGUAAAUGAAUGCUACAGCCCUAUGCAAUUUUUAAACCACUUUGCUGUGUGUCUCAUAUGGAGCUCAACAAUGUUACUGCUGGCAUGAGUGCACCAUAAAGCAUAUGACUCCCUGAUGUAACAUUUUAAAUAAGGAUACAUUUCUCAUCCAAUGUGACAUUAUGCAGGAAAAUUUCACUUCGUCACCUGUUUCUCAUGAGAGCUUGAGAAAGCUAUAUAAUUUUUUUUUUUUUUUGAGUCAGAGUCUUGCUCUGUCACCCAGGCUGGAGUGCAAUGGCACAAUCUCGGCUCACUAUAACCUCCACCUCCCGGGUUCAAGUGAUUCUCCUGCCUCAGCCUCCCAAGUAGCUGGAAUUACAGGUGCCCGCCAUGCCCAGCUAAUCUUUGUAUUUUUAGUAGAGAUGGGGUUUCACCAUGUUGGCCAGGCUGGUCUCAAACUCCUGACCUCAUGAUCCGCCCCCCUUGGCCUCCCAAAGUGCUGAGAUUACAGGUGUGAGCCACCACACCCGGCCUUACAUAAUUCCUUUCAACUGUAUAUAUCUCAUCAUUAAAAUAAGAAUAAGAAAACCUGUCUUCUUUUUUCUCCUUAAUAGCUUGUGAGGCCUAUGUACUAAUCAAAAUGAACGAAAAUAAUUCACAAACUCAGUGACAUCAAGGAGCUAGUUUGCUGUUUUACUUAAGGAAGAAUUAUUCUAUGGCUUCAAAAAAUAGAGCCAUCACAUGAAAUAUCUGAGUACAAAAACACACUAUAUUGUACAGACUUUUUCGUGUGUACGGCUGCUAGAAGUUAGAAAUCACCCAAAGUCUUCUUAAUCUGCCACUCUCUGAAUAAGACAGGUACCAAUACUAUUGUGCCUCUAUUAGGAAUGCAAAGGCUUACAGUAAAAUUGGAUGAAACUGCUUACUCAGAGUCACCCAGCAGCUCUGUGGUAGGAAUGGAAAAUAGGCUGAACCCACACUGUUGGAUGGUACUAUGAGUCUAUCAUUUCCUCCUUCUAUUUAAGGUCAUUUCCAAAAUGAUAGCUCCAAUCUUCAUAUGUGCUUAUUAUACAAUGUGCCACCAUUACAAAAUUUAAUUUUUUUUAAAAAAUGGGGGAAAGAGUUCCAUUCCCCCACACAUCAAUUUGCCAGAUGAUUUAAAUAGCACAUCCUAGGUCUCUGAUGCACAGAGAGUCCAGGGAGCUAAUGCAUCAUUUUGGAAUACUUAGAGCCUGAAGAAACACAGAGUCAAAUCAUAGCAGGACCAACUAGGCUUUUUAUCCAAGAUGGAUAAAUGAAAUUCCAUGCAGUUGCUUGUGCACAAAGUCUUUUCAGUUAGAUUUUUGAAAUGCAACCAACAGUUUUUUGUUUGUUUGGUUGGUUGGUUUUGUUUUUUUGAGACGGAGUCUCACUCUGUUGCCCAGACUGGAGUGCAGUGGCGCAAUCUCGGCUCACUGCAACCUCCACCUCCCGGGUUGAAGCAAUUCUCCCACCUCAGCCUCCCGAGUAGCUGGGACUACAGGUGUGCGCCACCAUGCCGAGCUAAUUUUUGUAUUUUUAGUAGAGAUGGGGUUUCACCACGUUGGCCAGACUGCUCUUGAUCUCCUGACCUCAAGUGAUCCACCCAUCUCGGCCUCCCAAAGUGCUGGGAUUACAGGUGUGAGCCACCGUGCCCAGCUGAUAUCAUCUAACUUUUUAAAAGACUAAGUUCCUGUCCAGGUAUGGUAGCUCAUGCCUGCGAUCUCAACACUUUGGGAGGCCAAGGUGGGAAGACUGCUUGAGCCCAGGAAUUCAAGACCAGCCUGGGCAACAUAAUAAGAUACUGACUGUACUAAAAAUCAAGAAGAAAAUUAGUCAGAUAUGGUGGUACACGCCUAUGAUCCCAGCUACUCAGGAGGCUGAGGUGGGAGGAUCAUGUGAGCCUGAGAGGUUGAGGCUGGAGUAAGCCAUGAUCAUGCCACUGCACUCCAGUCUGGAGGAGACAGCUCUGUCUCAAAAAAAAAAAAAAAAAAAGAAAGAAAGAAAAAAAGAAAAGAAAAGAUCAUUCCUGACAUUUAUAUGGUUAAUUUUAUUUUUAUGGAACAGGCAAAGCCUGAAAAUGAUAAAACAUAAAAGGAUUUGCACUGAAAAGAAAGUCUCUUUUUCCUGUUUCUCACACAGCAAAACCCCCCCCUGGAAACAACCUUACAACAAAGAUAAGCUAUGCAUUUGUGUGUGUGUGUCUGUGUGUGUGUGUGUGUGUGUUUGUUUUAUACAAAGGAGAGCAUGUUAGACAUACUGUUCUCAUUUUGCUUUAUUUAAUAAUGCAUCUUGGAUUUUGUUCCAUUACCACUGCAGAACUUCUUCAUUCUUUUAACAAGUUGCACAGUAUAUUCCAUGGAGUACCAUAAUAUACUGAUUCAGUCUCCUAUUGAUGACAAUUAAGUUGUUUCCAGUCCUCUGCUAUUAUAAGUAUUGAUGCAAUAACUAUACUUAUGUCAGUCAUUUUGCUCAAAUGAAAAACACAAAUGUAGGAAAAUUCCUUAAGUGGAAUUGCUUAGUCAAAGGAUACAUGCAUUUAAGUUUUUUUUAUAGAUUGGCCUUCACAGAAGUUGUAUCUAACAAUUUAUCAUUCCACCAAAAAGUAUAAAACCAACUGCUUUCUCAAACCCUUUAUAGCCAGUUUUGAUCAAGCUUCUUUAUCUUCAAUAAUAUGAUAUAUCAUGUUUUCCAUUUAAUUUUCAUCAGGAGGGAAGUCUGAUAUCUUUUUCUUAAAUUUUAAAAGCACUUGUGCUUACUUUUCUGUGAUCUGUCCUUAUCCUUUACCCAUCGCUGGUCAUUGCUUUCUUGUUUAUUUGUAGAUGCUCUCUAUUCAAUAGGGAAAAUAGUCUUGGUUUGUGAUACAUGUGAAAUAUCUUCUCCAGAUUUUCAUUUGUCAUUUGACUUUGCUUACAAUGGAUUUUCUUGUUAUGCAUAAACUUUGUUUUUUAGUAUUUAAAGUUAGUUAUCUUAUGGCUUCUGUGCUUUAUAUUAUACUUGAAAAGACUUUCUAAUGUAGAAAUUAUCUUAAAUAACCUUAGAUAUUCUUCCAAUACUUUUUUGAUUUUAUUUUUCACAUUUAAAUCAUUGUUGCCCCCAAGGAUUUAUUUUUGGAUAAGGCUUAAGAUAUAAAUUCAACUCCAUUUCUUUGCCUAAUGGUAAGAUUUAUUGAAUGCUCCAGUGUUUAUUGUGAUAUGCAAUGCCAACAUUAUCUUAUGUGAAAUAUAUAUAUAUAAGAUAUGUAUAUAUAUCUUAUACUCCUUCCACAUUUAUUUUUGGAUGUCCCAUUUUUUUCCAUUUAACUAUCUAUACCAGCACCACAGUCUUUAAGUUAUUGUAGCUUAAUACAUUUUACAAAAAUUGGUCUAGUCCCACCGCAAUGUUCUUCUUUCUCAGAAUCUGUCAUUAUGAAUUCUUUUAUUUUUGUAAAUUUUUUAGUUGAAUCACUUGGUUUUUCCAAAUAUACAAUCAUAUUACUUAGAAGGUAUAGUUAAUAUGCCUCCUUUCUAGUUUUUUUUAUUUCUAAUUUCUUUUUCUUGUAAGACUCCUUUGUCUAGUGCUACUAUAACAAUACUAAAUGAUAGUAGGAAUAAGGGUGAUCAUUGGCUUAAUAAGUUUAUGGAAAUGCUUCUGGAAUUCCCUAUAAAGCAAGCUGUUGACUUUUUCGUUUUUAGGUUAGCAAGAGGGCACUUACCAAGCUAAGGAUUGUGGAUCCUUAGAUCACUUGACUAGAAGAUGGGGAUGGGGUCAUAUGGUACAAACCAGGGCUGUUACUCCUCAACAAGGAGGAAUAACGCCUCUUAGAAGCAUGGCAAGCAGGUGCCAUAAAACAUGUCUACUACAAUUUCUCACUGCCUGGAAUAAUUGGAAAAGUUUCAUAAAUGCUCUGGCUUUCAGGUUCUUCACUUUUGCAAUAAAGCUGCUAAGUCUGGUUGCAAA